rnacentral:misc_RNA from 1 species
GCCUGCAUCCUCAUCUUGCAUAUUCUGUCAGCGCAUAUAACCAAUAUGUCAAUGAAGUUAACAAGUUCAACAAUCAAAACAAAAAAGAACUAAGAAUCACUUCUAAACAAUGGGAGGAUUCACAAUAUCACAGGAACUGUAAUGUAAAUAAUCAACCAAGACCAGCCAUGAGUUGAUGCUUUUCUACAGCCCAAUCAGAUAUGCUACAAUAAACUUUACUACAAGUAAUCAACCAAUAUAUUGAGUCUAUGUUUCCCCACAUUCUAUGAAAUAAGUUCACAACUUGUAAGACAUACACAAUUAACAACAAAAGCCCAUUUUUCAACUGAUAAGAGUAUUAAUCAGUAGUCAUAAGCAUAAAUGCAUAAUGCCAUAUAAUUUGAGGAGAAUAUGCUACUAGAACAAAUGAAUUAUUAGUCAGAGAUGUCAAAUGUUAUAUUUAAGCCUACAUUGAUGAACUUCUUAUGUAGUGGCAGAAAUAUUCCAAUGUGCUAAGCCAAUGUAAAAUUUUACCAACAAAACAAACCUAGCCUAAAAUUUUGAAAUCUAAUUAGACAAAGGAAAAAAAAAAAACAAUAAACUAGCAAAUAUGGUAUUUAAUCAGGACUAGUACCCAGAAUGCAGGACCUACUCAUGCUCAGGAAAAGAACUAAUCAGAAAAACAAUACUUUCUGGCAGUGCAACUGAUGCAUCAAGGCCACAAUUAAAGAAGUAUGGAAACCACAAAAACCAAAAAGCAACAAAUUUUUUCUGCUUCUAAAUUGAGUAUUUCAGUUUCACUAUCAAAGUGAAAGGACAAAUCCCCUCUUGCUUUCAAAUGGUGCAUGCACACGCAGUUCAAACCCAUUAAUGCACUCCAAUGUACAAUCAUCUCCGGCAAAAACCUAUAUGAUUCUGUAAAUAAGUAAUGGAGGACUCCCAACUAAUUAUCCAGACAACAACCUCCCUUUGAAAGUGGAAAAUAUGCCCACAAACUUCAACUUGCAUCAUCUGCUAUCCAGUGUGCAAUUAUCAUCCCUCAAGAACAGAUAACAUUUUUAAUAUAAAUUUAGGUAUAAUAUGAAAUUCAAGUGAAACCAAUUCAAUAGCAAAACAAGUUUAGACAAGACUAACUCCUGACCAAACCACAAAGUAUUAUGAAGUUCCCUCUAUCCAUUAAUAUGAUGAAACAUGGAAAUGAAAGAAUUGGGACAAGAAAAGGUUGUCAUCCUGCAAUCAAUUUUCAAGGAA